UACGUAGGGUGCGAGCGUUAAUCGGAAUUACUGGGCGUAAAGCGUGCGCAGGCGGUUCGUUAAGUCAGAUGUGAAAGCCCCGGGCUCAACCUGGGAACUGCAUUUGAAACUGGCGGGCUUGAGUGUGGCAGAGGGGGGUGGAAUUCCGCGUGUAGCAGUGAAAUGCGUAGAGAUGCGGAGGAACACCGGAUGGCGAAGGCAGCCCCCUGGGCCAACACUGACGCUCAUGCACGAAAGCGUGGGGAGCAAACAGG
rnacentral:rRNA from 1 species